GGUAAAUCUCGUGCCAGCCACCGCGGUCAUACAAGAGACCCAAAUCAACUGUCCCACAAGCGGCGUAAAGAGUGGUAAAAUGCCUAUCCUACCUAACUAAGAUCAAAAUGCAACUAAGCUGUCGCAAGCACAAGAUGCACCUAAACACACCAUCAAGAUGAUCUUAGAAACUAGCGAUUGAUUUGAACCCACGAAAGCCAGGGCCCAAACUGGGAUUAGAUACCCCACUAUGCCUGGCCCUAAAUCUUGAUACUUACCCUACCGAAGUAUCCGCCAGAGAACUACGAGCACAAACGCUUAAAACUCUAAGGACUUGGCGGUGCCCUAAACCCACCUAGAGGAGCCUGUUCUGUAAUCGAUGAUCCACGAUCAACCCUACCGUCCCUUGCCAAGCACAGCCUACAUACCGCCGUCGCCAGCCCACCUCGAAUGAGAGCACAACAGUGGGCGCAACAGCACCCCGCUAAUAAGACAGGUCAAGGUAUAGCCUAUGGGGCGGAAGAAAUGGGCUACAUUCCCUAUACAUAGGGCAGCACGGAAAGAAGUAUGAAACUACUUCUGGAAGGAGGAUUUAGCAGUAAAGCGGGAUAAUAAAGCCCGCUUUAAGCCGGCCCUAGGGCACGUACAUACCGCCCGUCACCCUCCUCACAAGCCACACCCCCACAUAACUAAUACCACGUAAA
rnacentral:rRNA from 1 species